rnacentral:rRNA from 1 species
GGAACGGGUCCGACGGUGAGGGACGAAGGCCAGGGGAGCGANCNGGAUUAGAUACCCGGGUAGUCCUGGCUGUAAAGGAUNCGGGNUAGGUGUCGGGUNAGCUUCGAGCUCGCCCGGUGCCGAAGGGAAGCCGUUAAGCCCGCCGCNUGGGGAGUACGGCCGCAAGGCUGAAACUUAAAGGAAUUGGCGGGGGAGCACUACAAGGGGUGGAGCGUGCGGUUUAAUUGGAUUCAACGCCGGGAACCUCACCGGGGGCGACGGCAGGAUGAAGGCCAGGCUGAAGGUCUUGCCGGACACGCCGAGAGGAGGUGCAUGGCCGCCGUCAGCUCGUACCGUGAGGCGUCCACUUAAGUGUGGUAACGAGCGAGACCCGCGCCCCCAGUUGCCAGUCCUUCCCGCUGGGGAGGAGGCACUCUGGGGGGACCGCCGGCGAUAAGCCGGAGGAAGGAGCGGGCGACGGUAGGUCAGUAUGCCCCGAAACCCCCGGGCUACACGCGCGCUACAAUGAGCGGGACAAUGGGAACCGACCCCGAAAGGGGAAGGGAAUCCCCUAAACCUGCUCCCAGUUCGGAUUGCGGGCUGCAACUCGCCCGCAUGAAGCUGGAAUCCCUAGUACCCGCGUGUCAUCAUCGCGCGGCGAAUACGUCCCUGCUCCUUGCACUCACCGCCCGUC